rnacentral:lncRNA from 1 species
GACUCGGAGCGGGCAGCGCUGAGAUUGCGCGUGCGCGUCACUAGAUGGCCUGGCUGUCCUCUUUCCUGGAAAAUUUCCCAAGGACUGCUGGCUGGAAACUUAAGGCUAGUGCCGAUCUGACCGUAGUGUGCCAAAUUAAGAAAACGGUGUGAGCAAAACCAAUCUUUACCUACCAUUAACUUGUAUUUGGGCAUUAGUAGAGAACAGAGUUUUUACCCCGUUGAAGAUUUGCUUUAACUUCAAAAGCGAUUACAACAAAGUAUGGACGGACACUCCUUCAGGGCCAACCUGGGUUUUUGUAAUCUCGCAAUAUUGAAAUCAAGAGACAUCACAGAACACAUCAGCAAAGGUAAGUUUAAUUUUAUUCCAGCUUGUGCACAAGGG